CAGUAGCCGCGGGAAUACGUAGGUGGCAAGCGUUGUCCGGAAUUAUUGGGCGUAAAGGGCUCGCAGGCGGUUUCUUAAGUCUGAUGUGAGAGCCCCCGGCUCAACCGGGGAGGGUCAUUGGAAACUGGGAAACUUGAGUGCAGAAGAGGAGGGUGGAAUUCCACGUGUAGCGGUGAAAUGCGUAGAGAUGUGGAGGAACACCAGUGGCGAAGGCGACUCUCUGGUCUGUAACUGACGCUGAGGAGCGAAAGCGUGGGGAGCGAACAGGAUUAGAGACCCCUGUAGUCCCUGUCUCUUAUAC
rnacentral:rRNA from 1 species